GACGAACGCUGGCGGCGUGCCUAAUACAUGCAAGUCGAGCGCAGGAAGCUGACGGAACUCUUCGGAGGGGAGGCAGUGGAAUGAGCGGCGGACGGGUGAGUAACACGUAAGGAACCUGCCUCAAGGAUUGGGAUAACUCCGAGAAAUCGGAGCUAAUACCGGAUAGUUCAACGGACCGCAUGGUCCGCUGAUGAAAGGCGCUUCGGCGUCACCUUGAGAUGGCCUUGCGGUGCAUUAGCUAGUUGGUGGGGUAACGGCCCACCAAGGCGACGAUGCAUAGCCGACCUGAGAGGGUGAUCGGCCACACUGGGACUGAGACACGGCCCAGACUCCUACGGGAGGCAGCAGUAGGGAAUCUUCCACAAUGGACGAAAGUCCGAUGGAGCAACGCCGCGUGAGUGAUGAAGGUUUUCGGAUCGUAAAACUCUGUUGUAAGGGAAGAACACGUACGAGAGGGAAUGCUCGUACCUUGACGGUACCUUACGAGAAGGCCACGGCUAACUACGUGCCAGCCGCCGCGGUAAAAC
rnacentral:rRNA from 1 species